CAAUAGAGUAUAUUAAAGUUGCUGCGGUUAAAAAGCUCGUAGUUUGAUUUCUGCCGCGGACGACCGGUCCGCCCUCUCGGUGAGUAUCUGGCUCGGCCUGGGCAUCUUCUUGGAGAACGUGGCUGCAGCAUGGAAUAAUAAGAUAUGACAUCGGUUCUAUUUUGUUGGCUUCUAGAGUUGAGGUAUUGAUAAAUAUGGAUAGUUUGGGGGCGUUCGUAUCUAUCUGUCAGAGGUGAAGUUCUUGGAUUUGUUAAAGACGGACUACCGCGAAAGCAUUUGCCAAUGAUGUUCUCAUUGA
rnacentral:rRNA from 1 species